CGACCUAAUGAUAUCCGACAAAGGAUUAUAGCGGCGAUGAGGGAGAAAUUCAUAGCUAGCAUGUCAAAAAAAAUAUAAGCUCUCAUCAGAUAUUUUGAAGUACCACUGCUAAGAUCAGAACCUGAUCCAGGCACAGUGAUAGCACCAGCGAAGGUUACUCCAGCUACCAGUACUGCCACCACGAGAAGAUUCCCUACCCCUCUGUUCCGUUCCUCCGUCGUUAACGUCGUUCUUGGUGAAUCAAAGAUAAGAUUGAUGCCAAACUCAUUCUUAUCAUUUCCUCCACCAAAACUUUUAAUACCUCACGCUGAACAACAAAAUGUUAAUUAGAAAAUAUAUGGUAAACAAAUUAAUUAUAUAAAGCAUCAUGACAAUGUUAUCUUAAUAUCCCAUAAUAACGAAGAAGUAACUCAUCGCAAUAUAUUUAGUAGAUCAGCGAGGCAUUCCAUAUUUUUGAGCAAGUAAAGAACUUUAUUUCCACUUUGGAUUAAUCAAAUUUUAGGUAAUUAAAAGAAAUCUAUCAUUCCCUUUUCUAUAAAGUUGCAACAUGGACAGAAUGUGGAUGUGAAAGUUUUUGCUAGACUAGAAUGUAUUUACUUCAAUCACCUGAUUAGCUUCUUACGUGGACGAAACCCUCUGGUAUUGAUGAAUAUAAAAGAAUUAAAUGUGACUGAGGUUUUGAAAAUUAAAAAAUCUUUUUAAAUGAGUAUUGAUUGUUCCUAUAUAUGCAAUUACUAGAAGCUGGAUUGUGGAGUAUAAUGCCAUUACUAGAAGCUUAUUGGCAUAUGGAAAAAACUAGAGAGUAUUUAUGCUUCUAGACCCAUGACUAAUCGUUUUCUUUUGAAGUUAGAUUUGUACUCUUGAGGAUGGAUGAAGGAAUGGGUAUACACAAGAGUUAAAAGGUUGACAACACAAGUAGUCAAUAUUAGAAAAAACAAAAUUGGGGAAAAAGAGCGAAACCUCAUUCUACAAGCCAUUGGUGCAAACAAUACUAGUUAAAAGGAUAACUUUAGGUUUAAUCUUACUAGAUAGAAUAAAAGGUUUUGAAAGGUAACGAGGCAUUGGUGAUGGAAGGUAAUCUAGGAAAUAAAAUUAUGAUUGUCAUGGGAGGAACAUGGCAUAAAGAGGUAGAUUUGGUAUAAAAAACUCUAUUUGAGAUUCUAGAUCUAGAGUGGAAUACAAUAUUAAUAUUUUUAUUGUCAUUGCAAAAUACUAGUUAAAAGGAUAACUUUAGGUUUAAAUGAUACAACUAUAAUUUUAUUGGAGAAUGAUAGGUUUUGAAAAUAGAAAACAAUGUCAAAAGGUAACGAGGCAUUGGUUAUGGGAGGUGGUCCUGUAAUUUACCAUGAAAGAUGGGAGCAAAGUGUUGAAUAUUAAACUCAAUCCAGAAGCUCCCAGAAGGUCAAGGAAGACAACCAGCCACCAGCCACCAGUCGCCGACCAGCCGCCAGCCGCCUUCACACUUGAAGGUUGAAUUUUCUAGUUUUUGAUUUCGUGUAUAAAUAGAGUGCCUAGCUUCUGUUAAUGUGUGUGGAGAGAAUUGAGAGCAAACACUAGAAAGAGAAAUAGAGAGAGAGAGGGCAUGUACUGUUAAGCUUUUGUUAAUUAAUUGUAAGCUUGUGUUUUUGUAACAAAACUUUGUGUUUUAUCCCCUCUGAGUGUUUCAAAGUCACCACCAGUGGUUUCUCCCAUGCACCAACAAUUAGUAUCAGAGCCCCGUUCGUCAGAAAACAGAAGUGUUUUGGGGUACAUCCGAAUUUUCAAAGUUGUCAAAAACAAGUUUUGAUCAUUCCACAGUGAAGAGCUCAUCAAUACGAACUCACUGUCGCAAGAAUCAGCCUUAUCGGAGUCCGCGGUGAUCCACACGCGCCGCCUGAAGAUCCGGUGACUGUAUCCCAUGCGCAUCCACGCGCGCCAUAUUUGAGCCGCGCCGAGCCCGAGCCGCGCCGCAAGCCGAGCCGUCCUCCGCACCGAGAGAAUAUUCCCCAAAAUAUUCCCCGAAUAUUCCUGGUUCAACCUAGCGAACCGCCCGCCGUACAGAAUUGGUUUUUUGACCGGUUCACCCAUUUUCUGACCCGAAUUCAACAAAGUCAGACCGGUUCCCUGCUAUUUGGAUCAUUCCAGAUCGAUCUACAAUGUCCGUUUGGCCAAAUUCGGCUCCUAGAAAGGUGAUAUAAUCAUUCAAAGAGCAAAAUGACUACAGAAGAUACACAUACACUCAUUCCAAAGCUGACCAAAGACAACUAUGAUAGUUGGUGCAUCAGAUUGAAGGCAUUCCUUGGGUCACAAGAGUGUUUGGAUAUUGUACAAACUGGUUAUGAUGAAUCAGAGUCCAAAGAAAGAGAAGAUGUUUUAUAAGAGGCACAAAAGCAAGCUCUUAAAGUCAACAGAAAGAAAGACAACAAAGCAAAGACCAUCAUCUAUCAGGGUCUUGAUGAAGACACAUUCGAGAUCAUAGCUUCCGCUGAAACAUCACAUGAUAUAUGGAGGCUCUCCAACAGAAAUACAAAGGUGCUGACAGAAUUAAAAAAAUUCGUCUUCAAUCUUUGCGAGGUGAAUUUGAGUUAUUGCAAAUGAAGUCCUCGGAGUCUAUUUCUGAUUAUCGCACAAGGAUUAUGGUGAUAGUCAACCAGAUGAGGAGAAAUGGAGAAGCCAUCGUCGAUUCUCGAAUUACUGAGAAAAUUUUGAGAUCGCUAGAUCCAAAAUUCGAUUUUGUUGUUGUCGCAAUUGAAGAAUCUAAAGAAGUGGACAAGUUGACAGUUGAUGAACUUAUGAGUUCUUUGCAAGCUCAUGAGCAGAAAAUUGUAAAGGGAAAUGGAGAUAAGGCAAUUGAGCAUGCCUUACAAGCAAAGCUGUCUCUCAAGGACAAAUAUGAGCAAGGGGAGACUUCAACAAAUGGAUAUACCACUCAAGCAGGAAGUCAACAAUCCAGAGGAGGAUUCCAGAGAUUCCAAGGAAGAGGUUCUUGGAAUACAAGCUUUAGAGGAAGAGGUGGCAGAAACAUCAUUAGAGGAGAUCGAGGACAACAAGCAUUCAAUCCUAGAGGAAGAGGGGGCGAUUACAAUAACCAUGACAAGAGGAAUAUCCAAUGUUAUAGUUGCAAUCAAUUUGGGCACUAUAGCACUGAAUGCAGAAGGAAAGCUCUAUUGGAGAUACGUGAGCAAGCCAACUAUGCAGAGAAGGAUGACAGAGAAGAAGCUGCAUUUCUUGUCCAACAAGAACAAAAUUAAGAUAAGGAAAUGAAAUAUUAUAGUUUUACAAUAAUAUAAUUGUUUUUUGCAUUAUACUUACCUAAUUACAAUGUGGUUUUCCCACACAUUUCUUACAACCCCCUCAUUUUCCUUGUCCUGGUAAUUUUUUUUCCUUGUAGUCAAACAUUAGUUAUUUUUAAAAAAAUUUUAAAAACUAUAUAUUAACUCAAUGUAUAUAUUAUUUAUUUAACCAUUAACUUUUCCCAAAAACAUCUACUAUAAUCAUACAUUUAGAAUGAUCUUAAAGUUGACUCUAUUAAAACAAUGGUUUUUCAAAAACAAAUUUAAGAUUAAUUGUAUUAAAGAGAAAAACUAUAAAAAAAAAACACAAAAAGUGUACCUAAGAUGUACAUCAUCUUGUAACCCAAAUCAAAUUGACCUUAGACAAUAGGGAAAAAAACAAAAGCUAAAAAAAAUUAAAAAUUUCUGAAAACAAGACUGCUUGAAUAAUAGCAUAGAAAAUCAAUUCAUCAAAAUCAUUUAAUGUAAAACUUAAAAUAAUCUAUUACAAAUAAAUAACUUCAAUGGUAAGAGAAAAAACAUGACUUACAUUGUGUCGUUGGCUUUUUAUGUUGCAAUAAGUUUUCUUGAUACAGGGUCUCUAGAAGAAGGGAUUCUACCUUUUUUGUUUGUGAAAUUCAUUGUUGUAAAUGAGAUCAUUGCAUAAUUAGUUGGCAUCAAAGGACAUAAUAAUCUCUCUCUUUGUAUGAUUAAUAGAAAUGAUACUGUGAAUCUGUAAAUUAUGCCAAAAACGCUUUAUUCUGUUUCUAAAGGACUCGAGGCUAUUGCUCUAAGAGUUGAAGUGCCUAUGUUCAAAAUCAUUUUAAAAUUACCUGCAUUAUUGCAUUUUUGUUCCACUAGAAAUUGUUUCUGAUGUUUUUGACAUCUACAAAUACUGCAAGGUCCUAUCCUGGUACUACUACAUCUGCUUGGUGUGGCCUUGUUAAGUUAACUGGGUAUUUGCAUAAUGUUUCCAGGCUGAUGCUUUUGAAAGCCAGCGUGGACAAUGCAUUGAUAUCACCUGGAAAGUGAUAAUUUAUUUAAAUAAAACAGACUUUACCAAGGUGAUGGAAACAAUGCUAUACUGCCCUGACAAAUAAAUGUAUAAAUGACAUGCGAGAGUUAAACUGGUUUUGCUUACACCAUUGUGCAUAGAACUGCUUAUUUCCUUUUCUGAAGAAUGUUCUUUGUACGCUUAAUUGAACUAGUCUCUUUAAGUGUUCAAUGGUUCUCACCAACCAUUUGUCAAAGAAAUAAAGAAGUCUGUUAAUUUUAUUGGUUUGCCAUUCCAACAGGGGCUGGAUCCCCUUUAAAUUGUGCAUGCAACUUGUUAGCAAACCUCUUAUUUUGGUAGGCAGAGUUUAUCCGUGUUGUGACUUCAGAUAAUAACAAUGACUGAUUUGGUCAAUCUCUCAAAAAGUUUUCUGUAUUCCCGAGAGUAAUAAUCCUAAUCAUCAUUUUAGGUUAGUUGACAGAAUAUCUUUCUUGGUUAUUUCUUAGUUCAUAUGAACCAAACCUGCCUCAUUCCUCCCCUCAUGCGAGGUAGUUAAGUAGUGUAUGAGCCCUAGUACUGGUUUCAAGAUAUGACUUAUCACUGUGUAUAUGUCUGUAGUUAGUUUAGCUGAGAGUUCAAACAAGUGUUUAUGGUGUUAAACGUUUUUCAAUCAUAAAUUGUUUUGCAGAUAUAAUUGAUGAAUUGGUGAAGAAUGGGAAAGAGAUAAGGCUGUAUAUUUUGCUUCUGAAUCUGGUUUGACGAAAAGAUUUUCUCCUGUAUCUCUACUCAAGUCAUAUCUUAAGAAUUCCAAGAAGAUCACAACUACUGUCUUGAAGAAUGGCAAUUAUAGUGUAGCUGCAACGGUGUGUCUAAUCUCUAUCUACAUUGUGUAAUUCUAAUGACAUGAAAUAUUUGAGUCUUAUUAAUUUUUUUGCAGGAUGAGUCAAGUACCUUGGAGUUGAAUUCUAUUAAAGCAAUCAUCAAAUGUGUGGAAGAUCAUAAGCUUGAAUCAGAAUUUUCCCUUGACAGCUUGAGAAAACGGGCUUCUCUGCUUGAAAAAACCAAAGCAGAGAGGAAGAGGGGUACAUCAUCAGCUGCCACUGCUACCAAGUCUCAAAACAAGCGAGGCCAUGGUUCAAGUGGUGGCCGGGACAGUGGACCUACUCCUUAUCGUCAAGCCAAAGCUGCCAAAUUUUCAAACAAUUAUUCCUCUUUCAGCCGCAGGAAUGCUCCUCUCCCUGCACAGCAUAGCCCGGCUAGAAGAUAUUCAGGGCCAUUCCACUACCCUAGCCAGAGUGUCUACGAGGGCCCCGCAGCAGCCCCGUAUGCAUCAACUUAUGGUAUCUCGCACGCUCAAAGCCCUUCUGCAAUCUCUCAACAACCCUACCAUCACUCUCAAAGCCCCAGUGCAAUUCCUCAACAACUCUACUCACAGCCAGCGGAGAACAUGAGUGCUGCCGGUUUCCGUGCCAGUGGUUCUUAUGGAAGCCAGACCGGGUUACGGGGCAUAUGAUUACGGCUCUGCUGCACCCGUUACUUACCAACCUUCAUCCUACACUCAAUAAGAUGGGAGGAACCUAGCCAGGUGUUAAGAUUCUUAUUUUUAUUUGGUGUCUGAUUUCUGGAUGUGGCCCUCUAAUUUUGGGACCCGCCCCCUUCAUCUCCCUUUCCCGUAUAAAAGUUUUUUUUUGGUCUUAUCUCAUGACUGGAUAUGAUGCCCAUGCCUGUAACGCUGAUUACCUUUAUAUGGAGCUCAAGCUGGAUGUGAUUUCCGUGCUGUGAGUUUUAAAUGGUUUGGCUAUCGAGCAUUGUGAUUACUCUCAUGAUUGGAGUCGCCAUUGGGCGCCUAUGCUUGUUUUUUUGCUAAAUUUUGGCAUGCCUAAUAGACUAAUUUGUUAAAUCACAACAAUUUAGUAAUCAUGCUAAAAAUCCAAUUUAGUAAGAACAUGGCUAUGAUGGGUAACAAUUAGCUAGCCCUUGUAAUUGAUAGACGUCAUUCUUUUGGCCACGAGAGGUCUGAAAAUAACUCACAAACAUUCAGACCAAUGGAGAAGCUUGUAUUACAUGUUCUAUAAAAUGGUUAUUCAUCAUCUAAUUCUUUAUAUAAACAAAUAACUACACAUGAAUAGAACAAUAAUGUUCCCUUAUAGUUUAUAAUAUUGCCACCUUUGUGAGUAUCAUUACCUUUGUGAAUAUCAUUUUGCCUCUACCAUCACAACCUCACAGUUAAUUUUUUUUUUCAUCAUUCAAUUUUUUUUUAAAAUUAGUCUUAUAAUUUGUUUUUUCAAUUCAGCUAUCCCCGAUUUCAUUACCAGAACUACAUGUUUGAUGAAUUUUUUUUGGGUCGCUGUUUUUUUAUUUAAAAUUUUAUUAGUUUCAUCCUUGAACAUUUGGUUCCUUUAGAAUUGAUUAUUGUAAUCAUUCUAAAGACAUGCAUAAAUUGUUUUAAGGCCUUAAAGUGCAUCUUCAUUCAUCUCAGAAACUGAAAAAAUAAAAAAAAAUCAAAUAAAAGAAACCUAAUUAUUUUUCCUGGCCUUGAUCUCUUUUUCUUUGUCCUUCUAGGGUGGUGUAAUCACCAUCAACAAAAUGGCCUUUUAAGGAAGAAGGGGACACUGGACACCAUUAUAGCAGGUUGCAAUGUCAGGAUCUAGAGGAAAGUUUCUCUCCUCGCCUAUCUCUCCUCGGUCCUGUCUCCGAUCUUUACAUACAGGGACUGAAUUUUAAAAAUAGUGUGUUUGUUUUUUAAAUAGGUUUUGUGGUUUUGAUUUUAAAAAAAUAAAUUUAAAAAAAGUGUGGUUAACUAUGAUUAGUUAAAUUUAAAUACGUGUUUAGUAAAAAUUAUAGUUGAAGUUUAUGUGUAACAAAAAUAAUGUAUAAAAUAUUUGGUGGAAGUAUAGUUGCCGUUGUUUUUUAAAGUGUUUUUUACUUGGAAAUGUAUCAAAAUAAUUUUUUUAAAAAAAUUAUUUUUGAUAUCAGCAUUGAUUUGAAAACAAAAAAAAUAUAUCAAUUUGAAGCAAAGAAAAAAAUAAAAAAAUUUAUUUUUUUCAAAAGCGCUUUUGAAACAUAAAAAUAAAUAGGGUUUUAUGAAACUCAAUUAAAAAAUCAUGUAAAAACUACUACAUAAAAAUUACGUUUCAAACUCAACUUUUUAGUAAGUCCCGCAUUACAAACCAAAGUUUAGUUUGUUAAUUACCAAACACUUUGCCAUGUUUGUUUCACCACAAACAAAAAACCAGUGAAGAAAUCCUAAAUAUCUAAAUAAUUUAUACAUGUUUUUUACUACACAUAACCUUUAACUAUAAUUUUUAUUAAACACAUAUUUAAAUUCAAUUAAUUACAAUUGACUCUAUUUAAAAAAAAAAACUUAUUUUUUUAAAUUAAAAUCUCAAAAACUAUCUAAAAAAUAAAGAAACGAGUGAGGAUGUUGAUGAUGCCAAGCAAGUCAGUGUAAAGUGGAAAUCUUGACAAGAUGUUGUAGCCUUCAUAAAAAGUACAAUGCAGUACAAAACGAGAGGUGAAUGUUUGAGAUUGUUAUAAUUUUUAAUUUUAUAUGAUUUUUAAAAGUAUAUUUUAUUUUAAAAAUAUAUUAAAUUAAUAUUUUUUUAAUAAUUUUUUCUAAAACAUAUUUUUCUAAAACAUAUUUUUAAAAAUAAUUUCCAUCACAACACUAAAAACAUAUAAAUAUUUAUCAUAGUAACAAGAAGUGAUAAUAUUUGAUGUAAAAACGGCUGAAUGUAUAUGUCAUGUUUCGAGAAGCGUCCAUGAUUAUAUCAUUAUGAUCCCAAAAAGAAAAAUAUUAAAUAUUAGGCUACAAUUAUUUAUAUACAGUUUUAAAACCUGGACCGGCCCGGCAGGUCAACUCGGGCCGAGACCGGUCCAGGUAGAGGCAAAAAUCUACUUGGAAAUUGACUCGGUAAAACCCGGUCGAUCUGCCGGGUUGACCCCGUGACCUGGACCACCCGGUCAAACCCGGCUGACACAUGAUCUCUCUUUCUCUCUUUCUCUAUAUAUAUAUAUAGACGUUAAACGACGUCGUUUUGGCCUUAAAAGGCCAAAACGAUGAACAAUGACGAAGCAGAAUUGGGGACACAUUGAUUACAGAGCAAACCCAAUUAACGAAAGAUUCCAUCACAGCCAAUGCAACUACAGUCUGGUCUAUAAGCUUUUGGCUUUCUUCUUUGCUCUUGCCAAUUAGGAUUUUUGCGUUUCGAGUGAUCGAUUUGCCCAUCAAAGUUGAAGUGAAGGGAGUGAGUUGGUUACAGAGAGAACUCCAUUCUAGGAUUUUAAGGGUUUUGAGUUGGAGUGAGCGAGCUGGAGGAGUGAGUUUCGGUGAGUGUGAAUCAAAGGGUUUUGUUAGGGCUUUGGUGGAGAAGGGUGGUUUGGUGGUGAAGAAGAGAAUCGGGGAUUUUUUAAUGGCUAUUAAAUGAUUGGAGAGUUUGAUUAAUGAAGGAUUUUUGAGGGAGAGAAGGAAAGGGAUGGGCUGUUUGACAACAACUUAUCCUUUUUAUUUUCAGCUUAUCUUUUAUUUUAGGUUGACUUGUUUUUAGGUUGACUCGUGUCAAUCAAUCUAACUCGUGAUUCGAUCACUUGACUAGAUUGAUAUCCGGAUCGAUUUUUAAAAUUAUGAUUUCUAUAAUUAGGUUACAUUUCGUUAUAGUCAUGUAUUUGAAAAAAUAUUUAGUUAAUAAAUAUAUAUAUAUAUAUAUAUAUAUAUAUAUGUUUUACUAAAAAUUAUUUUAAAAUUUUAAUUAAAAUAUAAUAUAUUUUAUAACUUUUUUUAAAAUGUAUUUUUUAAAAUCACAUAUCUAUCACAAAGAAAGAUCUUUUCAUACAUCCCAACUUUAGGCUAGAAGAUAUUCAGGGCCAUUCCACUACCCUAGCCAGAGUGUCUACGAGGGCCCCGCAGCAGCCCCGUAUGCAUCAACUUAUGGUAUCUCGCACGCUCAAAGCCCUUCUGCAAUCUCUCAACAACCCUACCAUCACUCUCAAAGCCCCAGUGCAAUUCCUCAACAACUCACUCACAGCCAGCGGAGACAUGAGUGCUGCCGGUUUCCGUGCCAGUGGUUCUUAUGGAAGCCAGACCGGUUACGGGGCAUAUGAUUACGGCUCUGCUGCACCCGUUACUUACCAACCUUCAUCCUACACUCAAUAAGAUGGGAGGAACCUAGCCAGGUGUUAAGAUUCUUAUUUUAUUUGGUGUCUGAUUUCUGGAUGUGGCCCUCUAAUUUUGGGACCCGCCCCCUUCAUCUCCCUUUCCCGUAUAAAAGUUUUUUUUUGGUCUUAUCUCAUGACUGGAUAUGAUGCCCAUGCCUGUAACGCUGAUUACCUUUAUAUGGAGCUCAAGCUGGAUGUGAUUUCCGUGCUGUGAGUUUUAAAUGGUUUGGCUAUCGAGCAUUGUGAUUACUCUCAUGAUUGGAGUCGCCAUUGGGCGCCUAUGCUUGUUUUUUUGCUAAAUUUUGGCAUGCCUAAUAGACUAAUUUGUUAAAUCACAACAAUUUAGUAAUCAUGCUAAAAAUCCAAUUUAGUAAGAACAUGGCUAUGAUGGGUAACAAUUAGCUAGCCCUUGUAAUUGAUAGACGUCAUUCUUUUGGCCACGAGAGGUCUGAAAAUAACUCACAAACAUUCAGACCAAUGGAGAAGCUUGUAUUACAUGUUCUAUAAAAUGGUUAUUCAUCAUCUAAUUCUUUAUAUAAACAAAUAACUACACAUGAAUAGAACAAUAAUGUUCCCUUAUAGUUUAUAAUAUUGCCACCUUUGUGAGUAUCAUUACCUUUGUGAAUAUCAUUUUGCCUCUACCAUCACAACCUCACAGUUAAUUUUUUUUUUCAUCAUUCAAUUUUUUUUUAAAAUUAGUCUUUAUAAUUUUGUUUUUCAAUUCAGCUAUCCCGAUUUCAUUACCAGAACUACAUGUUUGAUGAAUUUUUUUUUGGGUCGCUGUUUUUUUUAUUUAAAAUUUUAUUAGUUUCAUCCUUGAACAUUUGGUUCCUUUAGAAUUGAUUAUUGUAAUCAUUCUAAAGACAUGCAUAAAUUGUUUUAAGGCCUUAAAGUGCAUCUUCAUUCAUCUCAGAAACUGAAAAAAUAAAAAAAAAUCAAAUAAAAGAAACCUAAUUAUUUUUCCUGGCCUUGAUCUCUUUUUCUUUGUCCUUCUAGGGUGGUGUAAUCACCAUCAACAAAAUGGCCUUUUAAGGAAGAAGGGGACACUGGACACCAUUAUAGCAGGUUGCAAUGUCAGGAUCUAGAGGAAAGUUUCUCUCCUCGCCUAUCUCUCCUCGGUCCUGUCUCCGAUCUUUACAUACAGGGACUGAAUUUUAAAAAUAGUGUGUUUGUUUUUUAAAUAGGUUUUGUGGUUUUGAUUUAAAAAAAUAAGUUUAGAAAAAGGUGUGGUUAACUAUGAUUAGUUAAAUUUAAAUACAUGUUUAGUAAAAAUUAUAGUUGAAGUUUAUGUGUAACAAAAAUAAUAUAUAAAAUAUUUGGUGGAAGUGUUGGUUGUUUGUUUUUUACUUGGAAAUACAUCAAAAUAAUUUUUUUUUAAUUAUUUUUUAUAUCAGCAUUGAUUUGAAAACAAAAAAUAUAUCAAUUUGAAGCAAGGAAAAAAAUAAAAAAAUUUAUUUUUUUCAAAAGCGUUUUGAAACGUAAAAAUAAAUAGGGUUUUAUGAACUCAAUUAAAAAAUCAUGUAAAAAUACUACAUAAAAAUUGCGUUUCAAACUCAAUUUUUUAUAAGUCCCGCAUUACAAACCAAGUUUGGUUUGUUAAUUACCAAACACUUUGCCAUGUUUGUUUCACCGCAAACAAAAAACCAGUGAAAAAAUCUAAAUAUCUAAAUAAUUUAUACAUGUUUUUUACUACACAUAAAAUUUAACUAUAAUUUUUAUUAAAUACAUAUUUAAAUUCAAUUAAUUACAAUUGACUCUAUUUAAAAAAAACUUAUUUUUUUAAAUUAAAAUCUCAAAAACUAUCUAAAAAAUAAAGAAACGAGUGAGGAUGUUGAUGAUGCCAAGCAAGUCAGUGUAAAGUGGAAAUCUUGACAAGAUGUUGUAGUCUUCAUAAAAAGUACAAUGCAGUACAAAACGAGAGGUGAAUGUUUGAGAUUGUUAUAAUUUUUAAUUUUAUAUGAUUUUUAAAAGUAUAUUUUAUUUUAAAAAUAUAUUAAAUUAAUAUUUUUUUAAUAAUUUUUUAUAAAACAUAUUUUUAAAAAUAAUUUCCAUCACAACACUAAAAACAUAUAAAUAUUUAUCAUAGUAACAAGAAGUGAUAAUAUUUGAUGUAAAAACGGCUGAAUGUAUAUGUCAUGUUUCGAGAAGCGUCCAUGAUUAUAUCAUUAUGAUCCCAAAAAGAAAAAUAUUAAAUAUUAGGCUACAAUAUUUAUCAUAAUUUUAAAACUCGGACCGGCCCGCAGGUCGACUCGGGUCUGGAACCGGUCCAAGUGGAGGCAAAAAUCCACUUGGAAAUUGACUCGGUGAAACCUGGUCGAUCUGCGGGUCGACCCGUGACCCGGAUCACCCGGUCAAACCCGGCUGACACUUGACUCUCUCUCUUAUAUAUAUAUAUAUAUAUAGACGUUAAAAGACCGUUUUGGCCUUUUAAAAGGCCAAAACGAUUAACAAUGACGAAGCAGAAUUGGGACACAUUGAUUACAGAGCAAACCCAAAUAACGAAAGAUUCCAUCACAGCCAAUGCAACUACAGUCUGGUCUAUAAGCUUUUGGCUUUCUUCUUUGCUCUUGCCAAUUAGGAUUUUUGCGUUUCGAGUGAUCGAUUUGCCCAUCAAAGUUGAAGUGAAGGGAGUGAGUUGGUUACAGAGAGAACUCCAUUCUAGGAUUUUAAGGGUUUUGAGUUGGAGUGAGCGAGCUGGAGGAGUGAGUUUCGGUGAGUGUGAAUCAAAGGGUUUUGUUAGGGCUUUGGUGGAGAAGGGUGGUUUGGUGGUGAAGAAGAGAAUCGGGGAUUUUUUAAUGGAUAAAUGAUUGGAGAGUUUCAUUAAUGAAGGAUUUUUGAGGGAGAGAAGGAAAGGGAUGGCUGUUUGGACUUAUCCUUAUUUCAGCUUAUUUUUUUUUUAGAGUUUAUGCCGUGUCAAUCAUCUGACUCGUGAUCCGAUCACUUGACUAGAUUGAUAUCCGGAUCGGGUUUCAAAACUAUGAUUUCUAUAAUUAGGUUACAUUUCGUUAUAGUCAUGUAUUUGAAAAAUAUUUAGUAUUAUAUAUAUAUAUAUAUAUAUAUAUAUAUGUUUUACUAAAAAUUAUUUUAAAAUUUUAAUUAAAAUAUAAUAUAUUUUAUAACUUUUUUUAAAAUGUAUUUUUUAAAAUCACAUAUCUAUCACAAAGAAAGAUCUUUUCAUACAUCCCAACUUUAGGCUAGAAGAUAUUCAGGGCCAUUCCACUACCCUAGCCAGAGUGUCUACGAGGGCCCCGCAGCAGCCCCGUAUGCAUCAACUUAUGGUAUCUCGCACGCUCAAAGCCCUUCUGCAAUCUCUCAACAACCCUACCAUCACUCUCAAAGCCCCAGUGCAAUUCCUCAACAACUCUACUCACAGCCAGCGGAGAACAUGAGUGCUGCCGGUUUCCGUGCCAGUGGUUCUUAUGGAAGCCAGACCGGUUACGGGGCAUAUGAUUACGGCUCUGCUGCACCCGUUACUUACCAACCUUCAUCCUACACUCAAUAAGAUGGGAGAAACCUAGCCAGAUGUUAAGAUGAAGACAAAGAUCUGGUGCUCGAUUGAUGUUCAAUUUUAUCAAAUUAUGUUUAAAUUAAGUUGAUUUAAAGCAAUUAGGCCUUAAGGAAUCAAAUUUGAUUAUGAAACAAAUAUGGGAGACUGAAAUUAAUGGGUAUAGUUAAAAAGACACAGUAGCUGUGGCAGCGUAUGCAAUCUUUUCUAGCGGCCAACUCACCCUUCCAUGGUAGCGAUCGAUGCAUCUUAGAAUUCUUUUUCUGCAAUGGUAACACAUGUGUCGCCUAAUUUUUGGUUAUUUUUAUUUUAAUUAUUUUAUUUACCGAAAAGGAUAAAAUGAUGAUAAAAAAAAUAAUAAUGAUGAAAAACAAGUAAAAUAAAGAAUAAAUUAAAAUUUAGGUUAAGGACAACAUGAUGGAAAGUUUUGGGGUUUAAUUAAACUUUGGAAUUAAUCUAAUUAAUCCAAUCAAGGGCUUAAUUGGAGAAUUGAUAAGUUUUAAGACUUAAUUGAGCUUGAAAUUAAUUUAAUUAAUCCAAUCAAUGUUUUAAUUGGAGAAUUGAUAAGUUUUUGGACUUAAUUGAGCUUGGAAUUAAUUUAAUGAAUGAAAUCAAGGACGUAAUUGAAGAAAUAUCAAAGUUUGGGGUUAAUUGGGGUACAAUUUGCAAGAAAUGAAAACGCAAGGACCAAUGUGUAAAUUGCAAUGAGAUGCAGGGGUUCAAUUAAAAUUUACCCAACGACUGGACUGCUAAAAUUCAAAAUGACAAGGAUCAAAAUGCAAUUAGCCAUGUCCAUCAACACUAUUCAUCUUUUCCUUCACUCGCCCGAACAAAAACGGAUGCAUCGCCAUUACUCCUGCAAUAACAGUCAAUUUAUUACCUGGUAACGGUGGCAUUCUGUGGCUAUAAAGCCAGAGAGAACAAAGGGGCUAGAGAAGGGGGAACCGAAAAGCCACUGGUGAUCAUAGAACCGAAAAGCCACUGGUGAUCAUAGAACCGUGAGCAGCAGUGGAAGAUCUUCAUCCCCAGCAGCUUCCUCCAUUUCAAGCAGCUCCUCGCCACGGUUAGUCUCCACCCCAACACCAGAUACUCCAAGAUCAGCCACCGUGGGUAGUGUUGCCACCAAUCACCUCACACAGCAUCGUGAACUCCAACAGCAAGGCAACUGUCAGCAGCCUUGCAACAACCAGCAUCUCCCUUCUGCACCGUGAGCUUCAAUCACUCCACCAGCAUCACUAGUUCCAUCGUGACUAGCAUCACCAGCAGCUUAUCUCAGCAAAUCAGUAGCUCAUCACGGUGGCGACUGAUUUUUGAAGAGAGGCUGAAGCGUUCCUCAGCAACUCUUCUAGACAGGGAGGAGAAGAACCCCCAUCUCUUUUGUUCAGACCUCCAUCACCAUCAACCAUCGCCUUUCAUCUUCCAACAAAUAGCGUAAGCAGCAGCACAGGAAGGGAGGACUAGAGAAGACGCAGAACAACAGAAACAGAGGGGGAAACAGUAGCAGUCGGGCAAGCCUCCGUCACCAUCGACAUCGUCUUCGCCUUCACCUCGCAGCUGCGCCACCCCAGCAGCUCUUCCUCACCGUGACAUCCAGCAGUCUUCCCUUGAAGCAGCCGUCUCCCUCAGCCUUGCCAGGUAAGUUCUUCAGCUUUCCUUCUUUUGGUAAAUUAAUUACCUGUUACUGUUGCAUGCAUGCGUGAGUGAUUCACGCAUGCAUGCAACAGUGGCAGCCGGGUCACUGGUUUGGACCAGUGACCCGAACUUUUUUUUUUUUUUUUACCAUGCAACAUCAAUAAACAGAAAAAUAAAAAAAAUAGAAAAAAUAAAAAAUGUGUAUGCAUGAAUAAAAAUAAUGUAAAUUUAUUGGUUUAUUCACUGAAACCAGAGUCAGGAAUAAAAAUACCGGUUUAAAUAUAUAUUAUUUUUAUUCGUUGUAUUUUUAUUUUAUUUAGCUAGAAAAAUAACAAAUAUGUGCAUGAAUAAAAAUAAAUUUAUUUUUAUUUAUUUAUUCACUGGCACUAAAAUAGGGAAUAAAAAAAUAUUGAUUUUUUUUUUCAUAGCUAUGAAUUUUUACCAACGCCAGAGUUGGAAUUAUUCGAGCUCGAAUAUUCACUGGCGUCAGAGUCAGGAAUAUUAUAAAACAAAUCAUCAUAGCAUAAACUAAUAAAUAUUUAGCAAUUUAAGACAUAAACCAGCAAUGCAGUCUGUCUUAGGCAGAACGUUUAAAGGGUGAUAAUAUCUUCCCUUUUAAGUAACUAAUCCCGAGCCAUAGAAUCUCUGUUGACCAGUUAGGGUUCCUAGUAACCAUAAUACUAGGUGACGACUCCUUAAACAAGAUAUUUUCUUUAAAAGAACCGGAUGCCAGAAAUCUGUUCUUUUUCCAUAAUUCAAGAGAAUUAUUUUGAGGGCCGAUGCGAUGUCGGGUGCGACAACAUGUAUUCUUAUUCUUAGUGUUGUGUUGUUGGUGUUAUUUAUUUUAUUUUUUUCCAUAUUUUCCCUCUUUUCUCUUUAAAAUUCAUGAUAGCCAUUUCAAAGUUCAUAGUUGUCUCCUUAUUUUAGUAUUAUUUCAAAUGCAAUCCUUUUUUUAUUACUAAGUUUUUGUUCUAGAUCUUUUUCUAAAAUGUAAAAUUAUUUUCAAUUUUAUCAUUCAAUAAAAAAUUAUAAGUUGUCCUUUCAAUUCAUUUUUAAAAUUUGGUCCAUAUUUUUUUAAUUCCUAUUUUUAGUUUUUGAUCCUAUAGUGAAAUUAAAUUUUCCUUCCAUUUUCAUCAUCUAAUUUGUUUUUAUUUCUAAUUCUAUUCUUAUUCUUUUGGUUUUUUUUUAGAGCCUUUUGUAAAAUUAAAUUUUUUAAAUUAAUUUUUCAGCAUGAGGUUAUUUAAGAAUUGGAUUCCAUGUGUUUUUAUUGAUGGGAUGAUUCAUGACAUGGACCAAGUCAUAUAUUUAAAAAAUUGACCCGGGUUAACAUUGUUCUUUUAUUUAUUGAGUUUUAUUUUUUUUAUACACGUUUUAUUUUUUAUUUUCAUCCUUUAAUUUUUUUUUAAUUGAGCUUUAUGAUUUUUUUUUUAAUUUUCUUUCAAUCAUGUUAUCCUUAUUCAUCUCAGAAACUGAAAAAAAAAAAAAUAAAUGAAACCUAAUUAUUUUUCGUGGCCUUGAUCUCUUUUUCUUUGUCUUUCUAGGGUGCUGUAAUCACCAUCAACAAAGUGGCCUUUUAAGGAAGAAGUGGCUCAAAUUGUUUCUAUAGUUGGGUUACAUUUUAAUAUAGUCAUGUAUUUGAAAAAGUAUUUAGUUAAUUAAUAUUUAUUACAUAUAUAUAUAUAUACACACACAUUACUAAAAAUUAUUUUAAAAUUUUAAUUAAAAUAUAAUAUAAUUUAUAAAUCCCAACUUUCGCAAGAAUAGUAAUCAUGAGUCCUGACAUGUCCUCUUCCUUGUUGAAUUCUACGGGCUUCGAAUGUCAUGUUCAUGCCGAUUUACUAGGGUAUUUCUUUAUGCAUGCAUGCAAAAUAAUAUAAUAAUUAAUUAUUAGUUGAUAGAGGCUGAUAAAUAAAUAAAAAUAUAUAGUUUAUUGAGUUUCCAAAACAAAAUAAUCGCAUCAUGCAUGUGGUCUUCAACCAAAUCUACUACUGUUUGCAAAAAUAGUGUUCAUGUAGAUUAAUAAGGCCAUGUUUGUUUCUCGGAAAGUAGUUUUUAGAAAAUUAUUUUCCAAACUUUCUUGUGUUUGUUUGUCAUUAGAAAAGUUGGUCAACGGAAAACACUUUCCAGUAAAAAAAAAAUUUUAACUUGGUUUUCAGGAAAGUAUUUUCCUUUUAGAUGUGCUUGUUUUCUGGAAAGUGGUUUCCGAGAAAUUACUUUCCAAACUUUCUUGUGUUUGUUUGCCAGUAGAAAAGUUGGUCAAUGAAAAAUACUUUCCAGUAAAAGGAAAAUUUGGCUUGGUUUUCAGAAAAGUGUUUUCCUGAAAAAUUUAAGGGGAAAACACUUUCCGGAAGUUGUGAAAAAUUUAGAAAUGUCAUUAUUUUCUGAUUAUAUCAAAUUUGAUCCUCAAACUUUUGAUUGCUAUAUAUAUUUUGUUUUGAAUAUUUAUUUUUCAAUUUCAUCUCUUAAAAUGUUAUUUUUAUAUUAGCGUUGGUCCUUAUUUUUAUAGUUGCUAUUUGCUUUUUCCUUAUUAUUUUUUUAUUGAAAUUUUUUAUUUAUCAAAUUUGAUCCUCAUUCUUUUUAUUGUUACUUAUUUUAUUUGAAAUAAUUUAUGAAAUGUUGAUUAUUAUUAUUUUAAUUUCUUCAUUUUUUUUUUUUAGAUUUGAUCCCUAUUAUUUUGAUUAUUAUUUAUUUUAUUUGAGAUAAUUUAUGAAAUUAUAUUUUUUUUUUCAAUUUCAUUCUCAUUCAACUUUUUAAUUUGUAAGAUUUGUUCCUCAUUAUUUUAAUAAACUUGAGAAAAAUAAAAUAUUAAUAAGUUAUUUUCUAGCUCAUUUUCCAUGACAUAACCAAACACUGGAAAGUGUUUUCCAACUCAUUUUCCAUUACACUACCAAACAUCGGAAAAUACUUUAUCGGAAUUCACUUUCUCCGGAAUUCACUUUUCAAAAGGAAAACUUUCCAGCAAACAAACGGAGCCUAAGUACUAUUUAUUGAAACAAAGUAAUGAUAUUUUGCUUUUCUUGUAAAAGAAUUUGAACAAGUUAUUUAAGAUAGUUUCACAAGUUUCAUUUGUUAUUAUCGGGUCAAAUUAAUAAGUGUUUUUGCAUUUUAAAAUUAUAGUGAAAUAAUUAAAAUAUUCUUAUAUGUAAAAAAUUAUAAAUUGAUGUCCAAGAACUUUUUAGUAUUUUCACAUUAGUUUUUUCGUUAUUAUUAGGUUAGUUGAAGGAAAAUUUGGUAUUUUAAUAAAUAUAAAAUAUUAUUUAAAAACAAAAAACGGCUAGCCUAUGUAAUGCUUGUGCUAGCGUAUGGGUGGUGCUAGCUCCAUUCGGGUGGCAUCUCUCGACGACCGAACACUAGCUUUUGCCAUGUUAUUAAUUGAAAGCAUUGCAAUAUAAUCUUCCUUUAAGAACGGCACGUUGUGUUAUUGGGGUGGUUAUGUGAUGUUGGUGACCUUUUUUUCUUCUCAUCCCACUUUAGUCUUUCCUCCUUUUAAAAAUCAUGUUGGUCAUGUGAAAUUUUAAAGUUGUCCUUUAAUUUAUUGAGAUGUCAAAUUCAUUAUUAUUUUUUUUGAUAUUUUUUUUUUUGUUCUUGGUUAUUUUGUGAAAUUUUUAGUUAUUUUUAAUUUUAUCCUUCAAUCUCAAUUUGUGAUACAUUAUAUUUUUUUCAAUUUAGUCCUUAUUCUUUUGAUAUUUUUAUUUUUUGAGUCCUUUUAUAAAAUUGAAUUUUCUUUUCAAUUUCAUCCUUCAAUUAAAAAUAAAAUUUAUUUUUUAUUUUAAUUUUAAUUUGCAUUCCUUCAAGUACCCUUUUUUUUAAUCUCUCUGUAUAAUUGAUUUUUCUUUUUUUCAUUUUUAAAUUUUAUCAAAAACGCACGCGAUUCGUUGUUGUCAAACUAUCUAGUGCUAAGAAUUCGAAAGUCAAGUACCCUGCAAUAUGAAAGAACUCUGAAAACACACACCAGAGACAUGCAUGUUCUGCUUUAUAUAUAACCAAAGUCGUUACAAGAAAGAAGAGAAAGUGCUUAUCUAUUUGUUACAAGAGAUACAAAUUACAUGAGAUUUAAAUACAAGAUAAAAUGCCCUCCCGUUUGCAAGCUAUCCAGUUUGAACUGGAUGUGAUCCUAUUCUCUACCCAUAAAAAUAAUACUGAAUUUAAAGGGAUUUGCAGUCAGGACAGACAAUAAUGAUUUUCCAGCUGCAAGCAUCAAUCUAUAGGAAAAACCUAAUUGAUAAUAAUAAAAAAAGGCUUGGAAUGUGAUGAUGGUUAGGAAAAAUCCAGUACGUUCGUGCACCGUGAUUGUCAGCAUGAAUGUAAAUGCUAAACCCAUGCAGAAAAGGGAGUAGAAAUUAAAAUAUGUCGCCAUCUCCAUGCAUAUUGUUACAUAAUUGGUACCACCUAAUGAUAUCUGACAAAGGAUUAUAGCGGCGAUGAGGGAGAGAUUCAUAGCUAGCAUGUCGAAAAAAACAUAAGCUCUCAUCAGAUUUUUUGAACUACCACUGCUAAGAUCACGACCUGAUCCAGGCACAGUGAUAGCACCAGCGAAGGUUACUCCAACUACCAGUACUGCCACCACGAGAAGAUUCCCUACCCCUCUGUUCAGUUGCUCCGUCGUUAACGUCGUUCUUG
rnacentral:lncRNA from 1 species